rnacentral:rRNA from 1 species
GCCGUAGGGCGCGAGCGUUGUCCGGAUUUAUUGGGCGUAAAGAGCUCGUAGGCGGCUUGUCGCGUCGUCCGUGAAAACCUGGGGCUCAACCCCAGGCUUGCGGUCGAUACGGGCAGGCUCGAGUUCGGUAGGGGAGACUGGAAUUCCUGGUGUAGCGGUGAAAUGCGCAGAUAUCAGGAGGAACACCGGUGGCGAAGGCGGGUCUCUGGGCCGAUACUGACGCUGAGGAGCGAAAGCGUGGGGAGCGAACAGG